rnacentral:rRNA from 1 species
AUUGAACGCUGGCGGCAUGCCUUACACAUGCAAGUCGAACGGUAACGGGCCUUCGGGUGCCGACGAGUGGCGAACGGGUGAGUAAUACAUCGGAACGUGCCCGAUCGUGGGGGAUAACGAGGCGAAAGCUUUGCUAAUACCGCAUACGAUCUACGGAUGAAAGCAGGGGACCGCAAGGCCUUGCGCGGACGGAGCGGCCGAUGGCAGAUUAGGUAGUUGGUGGGAUAAAAGCUUACCAAGCCGACGAUCUGUAGCUGUUCUGAGAGGAUGAUCAGCCACACUGGGACUGAGACACGGCCCAGACUCCUACGGGAGGCAGCAGUGGGGAAUUUUGGACAAUGGGCGCAAGCCUGAUCCAGCCAUGCCGCGUGCAGGAUGAAGGCCUUCGGGUUGUAAACUGCUUUUGUACGGAACGAAAAGCCUUCUUUUAAUACAGGAGGGUCAUGACGGUACCGUAAGAAUAAGCACCGGCUAACUACGUG